rnacentral:lncRNA from 1 species
AUAAGAAUACUCAUCUCCCUAUUCUCUCUAUAUUGUUCUUGUUCUCGUAUUAUUGUUCUUGUUAUUAUAUUAUUUCAUAACACGUUAUCAGCACGAGUCUUUAACCAAUUGAAUUUGAUCUCUUCCUUCAAAUUCUAUUACUUCUCUUGUUGAUUGCAGCUAUCGGAGCAAUGGCAGAUUCACAACCCUCCAUUGAAGCCAAA